rnacentral:rRNA from 1 species
UAAGGUCACGGCAAGACGAGCCGUUUAUAACCACGAUAGGUGCUAAGUGGAGAUGCAGUAAUGUAUGCAGCUGAGGCAUCCUAAUAGACCGAGAGGUUUGAAC